rnacentral:lncRNA from 10 species
UGACAUUCCUAGAGUGGGAGUGCUCUCCUACCCUUCUUGUGUGUGACUAGCUACCUACUGUAACAACUUCCCUUUCAAGAGUCCAAGACCUCAAUUCUUUGGAGAAAAAUGGAUGAAGUGGCCUGGCUUCCAGCACCAAUGGCAAUUACCUGGAGGAAUGUCCUUAGGACAACCUGGAGGGAGAUUGAGAGCUUGUAAGUUCCAGGGAUGGAAUCCGAGUGAUCGCUAAGGCAAUUCAUAUAUUUUACCCACCUUAGGAUAACUGGUUUAGGAUUGGACAAACAAUCUCAGCUGCUUCAAUCAGACUCACUUCCUUUCAUUCAGAUGGAAGAUGGGAAAACACAAUGCUAUAGACUUUGGAAUAUUGUAUGGGCUCGUAAUCAGCGUACUGAAUUUCAAGCCAUUCCUUGGCCACUCAAUGGCCACUACUAAAUCACACAACCCACCCAACUGGAGAAUUAAAUCAAAUAUCUGGAGCAAUUUAAUGUGCAUGCAUUCGUGGCCACAAAAAUGAAGAUACAAAUAAGUAGGUAUCUACUCAACAAUGGGAUUGUUGGGUUGAAUGGUAGUUCAGUCUUUAAGGACUCACCACACUCUUCCACAAUGAUUGAACUAAUUUACACUCCCACCAACAGUGUAAAACAAUUCCUUUUUCUCCACAACCUAACCAGCAUCUGUUAUUCUUUGACUUUUUAAAUAAUAGCCAUUCUUUUGUGAGAUAGUAUCUCAUUGUGAUUUUGAUUUGCAUUUCUCUAAUGAUCAGUUAUUUUGAGCUUUUCUCAUGAUUGUUUGCCGCAUGUGGAUCUUUUUUUGAGAAAUGUCUGUUUAUGUCCCUUGCCCUCAUUUUAAUGGAAUUGUUUUUUUUCUUCCUUGUAAAUUGGUUUAAAUUCCUUAUAGGUGCUGGAUAUUAGACCUUCGUCAGACACAUAGACCAGUGGAACAGAAUAGAGAACCCAGAAAUUAGAUCACUCAUCUUCAACCAUCCAAUCUUCGACAAACCUGACAAAAAGCAAUGGGGAAAGGACUCCCUGUUCAAUAAAUGGUGCUGGGAGAAAUGGCUGGCCAUAUUGUGUCUAGAAUUUAUUCCUUCCAGUGGGUUCUUGGUCUCGCUGGCUUCAAGAAUGGAGCCGCAGACCUUUGCAGUGAGUGUUACAGCUCAUAAAGGUGUUGCAGACCCAAAGAGUGAGCAGCAGCAAGAUUUACUGUGAAGAGCGAAAGAACAAAGCUUCCACAGCAUGGAAGGGCACUUUCCGCUGCUGGCUCAGGUGGCCAGCUUUUAUUCCCUUAUUUGGCCCCACCCACAUCCUGCUGACUGGUCCAUUUUACAGAGCCCUGAUUGGUCCAUUUUACAGAGUGCUGAUUGGUGUGUUUACAAUCCUUUAUCUAGACACUGAGCACUGAUUGGUGCGUUUUUACAGAGGGCUGAUCAGUGCGUUUAUUUUCCUUUAGCUAGACACAGAGCGCUGAUUGGUGCGUUUUUACAGAGUGCUGAUUGGUGCAUUGACAAUCCUUUAGCUAGACACAGAGUGCUGAUUGGUGCAUUUUUACAGAGUGCUGAUUGGUGCAUUUACAAUCCUUGAGCUAGACACAGAGCGCUGAUUGCGUUUACAAUCCUCUAGCUAGAUAGAAAAGUUCUCCAAGUCCCCACUUGACCCAGGAAGUCCAGCUGGCUUCACUUCUCAAUAUGUAGAAAAUUGAAACUGGACCCCUUCCUUACACCACAUACAAAUAUUAAAUCAAAAGAGAUUAAAAACCUAAAUGUAAAACUCAAAACUAAGAAAACCUUGAAAGACAGCUGAGGCAAUACCAUUCGGGACAUAGGCCAUGAGCAAAGAUUUCAUGAGAAAAAUGCCAAAGGCAACUGCAAGAAAACAAAAAAUUGACAAAUGGGACCUAACUAAACUGAAGAACUCUGCACAGCAAAAGAAACUGUCUGCAGAGUAAACAGACCACCUACAGAAUGGGAGAAAAUGUUUGCACUGAUUUACUUUCACAAAGUCAGUUUGUGAAAGAAAAAGAGAACAAGUGGAAUUUGAAAGGCAAUGGCUAAUUUCUUAUGCAUCAGUGAAGACAUUGGAAUCCAAUAGAGUUGAGUGCAAAGCCCACCCUGCCCCAAUUCUGUGCCUAUAAAGACCUCAGGCUCAGCCAGCAGAGAGGAAAAGUGGCUGGAUGUUGAGAGAGGCAGUUUGACUCCAGAGAUGGCAGCUGGAUGUCGGAAAGCAGCAACUUGACUUCACAAGAGAGAGGCAGAGGUGACUUAAUAUCAGAGGAGAGCAACCUGCCCUUCCCAUCCCCUUUCCAUCUCCCCUCUUGCUGAGAGCCGCUCUCGUCACGCAAUAAAAUUCACCACAUUCACCAUCCUUCAAUUUAUAUUUGCGACCUCAUUCCUCUUGGGCACCGGACAAGAAUUUGGGAUGCACCAAGUGUGGACACCCACAAAGGCUGUCACAGUGGCCCUUUGCCAUUGCCAGCAGAGGGCAGCUGCCCCAUGCAAUAAGCCAAAGGGCUGGCUGAGCUGAUAACACACUGCUUUCUGUGGACGGCGGCGGAGCUAAAAGAGUAUUGUAACAUGCCCUCUGGGGCCUUGGGGAACCCCACCUGGAUCCUGCCAAGAGGCCUGCAUGAAGUUUGCUCCUGCCAGCACUAAAGCAGCCAGUUUUUUCCUGCACUCACUCACCUGCACACUUCCUCCUGCGAUGGGUGGGACACAGUCAACCUGAGUGAGCAGAGUUUGCUCAUGCAGGCACCUAAAUUGCUGGCAAGUUCCUGAGCUCAUUCGCUUCAAUUCCCGUACUCAUUUGCAUGGGUGCUCCCUCCCACAAGGGGUUGAACAGGACAGGUUGAGUAAAUGGUGCACCCCUCUUUUGAGUCCCACCAAGGGUCAAGAAAAUAUCCUGCAUCACUUUGUCAACUUAUGCCACUUAAAGGACAUGCUGCCUACUUUAGACUUAUUUACAAGUUUGCAUAAUUUUUAGACAUAGACAACGCCGUUUAUCUCUGCAAUUACUAUCAAUUCUAACCUAGGAAGCACCAAGUUAAUGGCAAUAAAAAAAAAAAGAAUAAACAACUGUUUCCAGCAACAAGGUGACUGUACCAGUAAUUAAUUUAUUGCCUUCCAGAGGCAAAUUCACUAUUGCCUGUUCUGAGAAAAAGAAUCUGGGCCCUUCAAAUAGCUGCCAGAAUGUAAAAACUUGCCAGCAGAUGGUGGUGGAGAGAUGCUGGAGGUGGAAGGGAUUUCAUCCCAGGUCUGGUAUGCUCCCUCAUCAGGCUCUCACAGUGGAACACACCUUCUCCAACACCUGGCUCCUGUUCAGCAGCACCCAGAGACCAUCAGCUUCCUUUUGCACUCCUUUCAGAUAAUUUAGCAGUUGAGUCUCUCUGGAAAAAUCAAUAGCUUUCCAUGACACCCCAGAGGAUGAAUCUCCUGCCUGCCCAAAAGGCAUAUUUUCAGCAAUUUCUUCCAGUACAGCCCCACUGCAACUACUCUGCCACCCAGUGAGAGCCACAUUCUCUUUUCUUUUUUUUCUUUUUUUUAAUUUUUGAUUUCCAACUUUUAAGCUCAAGGGAACAUGUUCAGGAUAUAGAGUGUGCAGUUUGGUACAUAGGUAAACAUGUGCCUUGUGGUUUGCUGCACAGAUCAUCCCAUCACCUAGGUAUUAAGCCCAGCAUCCAUUAGCUGUUCUUCCUGAUGCUCUCCCUCCUCCCAUGCCCCACCCUCCAACAGGCCCUAGUCUGUGUUGUUCUCUCCCCGGCAAUUCCUCAAAGACUUAGAGGCAGAAAUACCAUUUGACCCAGCAAUCCCAUUAUUGGGUAUAUACCCAAAGGAAUAUAAAUCAUUCAAUCAGGAACAUAUACGCAUGUGUACGUUCACUGCAGCACUAUUCACAAUAGCAAAGACAUGGAAUCAACCUAAAUGUCCAUCAAUGAUAGACUGGAUAAAGAAAAUAUGGUACAUACACACCAUGGAAUACUAUGCAGUCACAAAAAGGAAUGAGAUCAUGUCUUUUGUAGGGACAUGGAUGGGGCUGGAAGUCAUUAUCCUCAGAAAACUAAUGCAGGAACAGAAAAACCAAACAGUGCAUGUUCUCACUUAUAUGUGGGAGCUGAGUGUUGAGAACACAUGGACACAUGGUAGUGAGCCACAUUCUUACCCUUUCCAAUAAGGCUUGAAUCUCAUCUUGGUAGGGAGGGAGCAGUCUUACUGGAUGCUGUAUUUCAGCACCAGGGAUUGGAGAACACUCCCUCACUUUUGCAUCAGCUAAUCCUGUACUCUAUAAAAUUCUUUUCAUUUAUUACAAUCCUAUUCCUCCAUACACAAAUCUCCUGUUAAAAUUAAUAACUUUUAUAUCAAACUUCCUCUGUUCACAUUACUGUGUUGGUUUCUCCCUCCUGAUUGGAUCACAACUGAUACAAUUGGGUUAAAUACUUUUUCAUAAAAUAAAUUAUUAAAUCCAUUCCUUUAGUGUGUAAGUAUUUAGAGUUUACAAAUUACUGAGAUUUAAUUCUACAAAUUAUACAUAUUUACAAUCUAGGUGAAGGCACUCAAGAGAUAUUUAAACAUUUCCCCUCUAAGACAUCAGUUUAAAGAAAGACAGAAAGAAAGAAAGAAAGAAAGAAAGAAAGAAAGAAAGAAAGAAAGAAAGAAAGAAAGAAAGAAAACCCUUUGCUAGCACAAAACAGUCCCCAAAACCUUACUGUUGGGGUUGAGAAACUGAUACCUCCUAUGGCACUUUGGAAUGCUGAGUACUUUGAAUCAAAGGAGUUGAAAGACCAUAGAAGCAACUUCAGAACCAAUGUCACUCUGACCUCCUGCUCUUCUGUCUCUUACCCUCUUUCUCCUGCAAUAGUGCAAGGAGGGGCUCUCCCUGAACUUUCCUUAUCUGUCUAAAGAUUGGCCCUCUAGAAAGAAUACACUUGUCAUGAGUGUUUUUCCUGGGAAUCUCAUCAGCCAGGGAAAAGUAAAAGUAUCACAGGGGAGGAAACUGAAAGUUGACAACAUGCCCAGGCAGAUUUUAUCACAGACUAUCGCCUCUUUUUCUGAGACUGUUUAUUACCUGAAAGACCUUUUGUUUGCAUAACAAGACAACCUUUGUUCACCCUGCAUUUUCUCCCCUCACUCUCCCAUAACUUGUGUCACCACCAACCCUAGAAUCCCCAGGCCUGUAUUCCUUUCUUCAGCUCAAGAUGUUAUAUAUGUUUCAAUCAUCUGCCCCCUUUUCAAGUCUCAUAUUUUGUGGGACUCCUAUGUGUAUGCAAAUAAUUAAAAUGUUUUUUUCUCCUGUUAGUAAUUAUCAAACCUUCAGAGGAUAAAGAAAGUUUCCUUUCUCUAUAUUAAUAAUCUCUAGUCCCAACAUUCCAUUCCUCAUUCCCCAGCAUUCACACACACAUUUCCAUGCUGCUUUUCAACAAAAAGUUUUAUUUCCUGCAGUGUAGCAAAAUAACAUGAUUCUAAGUUCUCUUUUAUAAAAUCUGUUAGCUAUUAUAAUUCCUUCACUCACUUUCCCCUUUGUAAUAAAUUUUUCCCCAUCCAUUAAAAUAAUAUGGGCUUAGUAGAAUGCUUAAAAAAUAAAGAUCCACAUGAAAAAUUUAAAGUCAUGUAUAAACAUAUAAUUUAGUGAUAAUUAGUGUUAACAUUUUGGCUCAUUUUCUCUUUGCCUUUGUAAAAUUACAUUAGUCUUGGAUUUGUUUCUUUUCCUACCCCUAUCACAAAAGAUGCUCCUCUUCAUCCAUGGUUACUAUUUUAGUGUGCCCUAAAGGAUAUCACAGCUGAUAUGUCAGGCUACAGUUGUAACUUCCCUAAAAUUAUGACCUUCUUCUAUCGUUGAUGUUGUCACCACGUGGUAAUGAAAUCUUAGGAUAUUAUAAAUAGUUUGGUAUUUGAUUCUCAUAUUUAAUAAUGAAUCUAGAGAUUUCAGGGAAGAAAUAAAGUUGAUAUUGUUUGGAUAUUUGUUCCCUUUAAAUGUCAUCUUGAAAUUUGAUCCUCAGUGUUGGAGGUGGAGCUUAGUGAAAGGCAUCUAGGUCAUGCAGCACUCCUAGCACCUCCAAGGUCUGCUUUUUCAAAAGAGUCUGGAGCCUCCCUUUAUUCACUUUUUCCUUCUCUCUCACCGUGUGUUGGUUUCUCUCCUUUCCCUUCUGCCAUGAGUGAAAACUUUCUGAAGCCCUCAUCAGAAGCAGAUGCUGGUACCAUGCUUGCACAGCCUGCACGAGUGUAAGCCAAAUAAACCUCUUUUCUUUAUAAAUUCCUCAGCCUCAUAGUAUUCCUUUACAGCUAUGCAAAUGGACUAAGACAAGAGUUGAUCCCCUUCAACCACACAGAAAAAGACUUCCACUUUGUUGAAUUUGCUUCAUUUACAAACAAAACUCUAAUAAUAAUAGUAUACAGAGAAUUAAAGAAUACAAUUGAUCAUAUGCACUGACUUAGAAAAGGAAUGCACAUGGGAUGGCAAAAUAGAGAAGGCUUCUUGUGAGUGUGUGGGGGAGGCAGGAUAGGGUUAUCUGGGUCUUUAAAAAAACACUUGACUUAAGCAGAGAGGGCUAUGAGAGGGCUUAAUAAAAGUACAGAGGUAGAAAUACAGAAGAGGUAUAAAAAUAACAAAUAGUCUUAUGUGAUUACAACUUGACAUAUGUAAUUUAGCGGAAGCAUUUUCUACUUCUGAAACAAAUUAUGAUUAACACUUCCUGUAAUAGGUUUAUAAUUAUGUAAACCUAUUUAAAUCAAUCAUUUGCACAACAAAAUGAAUGAAUUAAUUUGUUGCAGCUGUGUUUACUGAGGCACACAUGUAAAGCAAUUUUAAAUGCUGUCAAGUAACAAUGAUUUCGUUUCAUGACUCACACUAAGUGAGAAAUUCUGAUUUUUUUAAGACAAAGUUUAAAAAAUCAAAAACUUAAAACUCCUGGAACUAAAAGCAUAGAAGAAAAGCUUCAUGACAUAGGACAUGACAAUGUGUUCUCACAUAUGACACCAAAGCACAGGGAAAGAAAGCAAAAGUAGAAAAGGGACUAUAUCAAACUCAAAAACUUUUGUGCAUUGAAGGACACACCUAACAGCCUGAAAAGGCAACCUAUGGAGUAGGAGAAAAUAUUUGCAAAUCAUAUAUAUCUAUACAUAUAUAUGGAUAUGAUAGUAAAUUGUUAUACAGAAAAUAUAAAAAGAACUUCUAUAACUCAAUAACAAAAAUCAAAUAACUUAUUUUUUUAAAUGGGCUAAGGACUUGAAUAGAUAUUUCUCCAAAAGUAAUACGCAAAUGGACCACAGUCAUAUAAAACAAAUAUUUGACAUCAUAAAUAAUUAGGGAAAUGCAAGUUAAAAUCACAAGAUAUCAUCUUACAUUCACUAGUAUGACUGCUAUCAAAAAAAUGAAACAAAACAGAAAAUAACAAAUGUUAGUGAGAAUGUGGAGAAAUUGGAACCCUAGUACACUGUUGGCGGGAUUGUGCAACCACUAUGCAAAAAUUAUAAAAAAUUAAAAAUAGAACUACCAUAUUACCCAACAAUUCCACAUCUGGGAUUUUAACCAAUACUUUUAACCAAAAGUAUUGAAAGAAGAGUCUCAAAGAGAUAUUUGAACACUCAUGUUUAUAGAAGCACUAUUUAAAACACCAACAAGUAGAAGCAGCCCAAAUAUCCAUUGACAAGUGAAUGGAUGAAGGAAAUGUAGUAUAUACACAUACAAUGGAAUAUUAUUCACCCCUAAAAAGGAAAUCUUGUCACAUACUACAGCAGGGAUAAGCCUGAAUGAUAUGCUAAAUAAAUAAGCCAGUCACAAUAAGACAAAUACUGUAUGAUUCAACUUCUAUAAAAUGGUGAUUACUAGGGACUGAGGUGAAAAAGUUCUAGAUAUAUGUAUUACAACAAGUUGAAUAUACUUAAAACUACUGAAUUGCACUCUUAAAAUGAUUAAAAUGAAGAAAAUACAUGUUUUUAACUACAAUUUAAUUUUUUUUAAAUCACAAAUUUAGUGAUAGGUAUGUGGCUUUAUAGAUGUUUUAAUCCAAACUUCACAUUUUAACAAUAAAAGUACUAGGACCUUAGAAGAUGGGUGACUGGUUUCAGAUUAUCCAGUCAAGAUGAAAAUUUAUGCCUUCCAAAUUACCACAUCUUAGGUGUCUUCAUCUGCUAGCUUAAUCCCAGGUUGUUCCUGGACUAUCUCUACAUCAAGCAGUGAAAGCUUAACUCCCUUCAUGUUUUACGAUGGAUAAAUAUGUGAGGUGAAAAUCAAGAGGCUAGCAUUGACCCAAUGUACAUCAUCUAUCAAGGAGACAAUGUUCGUUUGUUCUUUGAUGAAUCUCUAAGACAACAUUGUCAUGAUUUUGUUUUCAUCACACAUUUGCAUUAGGU